rnacentral:rRNA from 1 species
CAGUAGCCACGGUAAUACGUAGGUGGCAAGCGUUGUCCGGAAUUAUUGGGCGUAAAGGGCUCGCAGGCGGUUUCUUAAGUCUGAUGUGAAAGCCCCCGGCUCAACCGGGGAGGGUCAUUGGAAACUGGGAAACUCGAGUGCGGAAGAGGAGAGUGGAAUUCCACGUGUAGCGGUGAAAUGCGUAGAGAUGUGGAGGAACACCAGUGGCGAAGGCGACUCUCUGGUCUGUAACUGACGCUGAGGAGCGAAAGCGUGGGGAGCGAACAGGAUUAGAUACCCCCGUAGUCCCUGUCUCUUAUAA